rnacentral:lncRNA from 1 species
AGAAGAAGAAGAAGAAGUUGAAAAAAGAAAAUUAGUGAAUCUAACCUUGAUCAGCCGCUUGUGCAGAAGUACUAGCUUCUCUUGGAGGAGGAACGAACAAUGCAGCUAGUAUGUUAUGAUCAAUUAAUCCUGCAUUCUGAAGUUGUGCAAUUACAUCUAUUAUAACUACAUCAUCUGUGGCAUUUAAAAAAUGGUCAGAAUUUCCAGCUUUUCUUUUCAAUAUAGUCUUUGUAACCCCCACUCCAUAUAGUCUUAGACGUCNNNN